rnacentral:rRNA from 1 species
AUUGAACGCUGGCGGCAUGCUUCACACAUGCAAGUCGAACGGUAACAGGUUAAGCUGACGAGUGGCGAACGGGUGAGUAAUGCAUCGGAACGUGCCCGGUCGUGGGGGAUAACGCAGCGAAAGCUGCGCUAAUACCGCAUACGAUCUGAGGAUGAAAGCGGGGGACCGUAAGGCCUCGCGCGAUCGGAGCGGCCGAUGUCAGAUUAGGUAGUUGGUGGGGUAAAGGCUCACCAAGCCAACGAUCUGUAGCUGGUCUGAGAGGACGACCAGCCAGGCUGGGACGGAGACAGGGCCCAGACUCCGACGGGCGGAAGCAGUGGGGAAUUUUGGACAAUGGGCGAAAGCCUGAUCCAGCAAUGCCGCGUGCAGGAAGAAGGCCGUCGGGUUGUAAACUGCUUUUGUACGGAGCGAAAAGGUCUCCUCUAAUACAGGGGGCUCAUGACGGUACCGUAAGAAUAAGCACCGGCUAACUACGUGCCAGCCGCCGCCGUAA